UACGAAGGGGGCUGGCGUUGUUCGGAUUUACUGGGCGUAAAGCGCACGUAGGUGGAUUGUUAAGUGAGGGGUGAAAUCCCAAGGCUCAACCUUGGAACUGCCUUUCAUACUGGCAAUCUUGAGUUCGGAAGAGGUGAGUGGAAUUCCAAGUGUAGAGGUGAAAUUCGUAGAUAUUUGGAAGAACACCGGUGGCGAAGGCGGCUCACUGGUCCGAUACUGACACUGAGGUGCGGAAGCGUGGGGAGUAAACGGG
rnacentral:rRNA from 1 species